GACGAACGCUGGCGGCGUGCCUAAUACAUGCAAGUCGAACGAGAGCGACCGGUGCUUGCGCUGGUCAAUCUAGUGGCGAACGGGUGAGUAAGACGUGGGUAACCUGCUCAUCAGAGGGGGAUAACAUCCGGAAACGGAUGCUAAAACCGCAUAGUUCUUCGAGCCGCUUGGCUUGAAGAGGAAAAGAGGCGUAAGCUUCUGCUGAUGGCUGGACCCACGUUGCAUUAGCGAGUUGGUGAGGUAACGGCUCACCAAGGCCAGGAUCUAUAGCGGACCUGAGAGGAUGAUCGGCCACAUUGGAACUGAGACACGGCCCAAACUCCUACGGGAGGCAGCAGUAGGGAAUAUUCCGCAAUGGACGCAAGCCUGACGGAGCAACGCCGCGUGAGUGAAGAAGGUUUUCGGGUCGUAAAACUCUGUUGUUAGGGAAGAACAGGUGCUGGAGUAACUGUUGCCGCCUUGACGGUAGCUAACCAAAAAGCAACGGCUAACUACGUG
rnacentral:rRNA from 1 species